AACGUACGCUGGCGGCACGCCUAACACAUGCAAGUCGAACGAAGUAGCAAUACUUAGUGGCAGACGGGUGAGUAACAUGUAGGUAUCUGCCCUUUGGCCUGGAAUAACACGAGGAAACUUGUGCUAAUACCGGAUAAGUCUUUACGGAGAAAGCUUUAUGCACCAUUGGAUGAGCCUGCACUUGAUUAGUUUGUUGGUGGGGUAAUGGCCUACCAAGACUGUGAUCAAUAGCUGAUUUGAGAGGAUGAUCAGCCACAUUGGGACUGAGACACGGCCCAAACUCCUACGGGAGGCAGCAGUGGGGAAUCUUGCACAAUGGAGGAAACUCUGAUGCAGCGAUGCCGCGUGAGUGAAGAAGGCCCUUGGGUUGUAAAGCUCUUUCGUCGGGGAAGAAAAUGACUGUACCCGAAUAAGAAGGUCCGGCUAACUUCGUGCCAGCAGCCGCGGUAAUACGAAGGGACCUAGCGUAGUUCGGAAUUACUGGGCUUAAAGAGUUCGUAGGUGGUUGAAAUAGUUGGUGGUGAAAUCCCAGAGCUUAACUCUGGAACUGCCAUCAAAACUUUUCAGCUAGAGUAUGAUAGAGGAAAGCAGAAUUUCUAGUGUAGAGGUGAAAUUCGUAGAUAUUAGAAAGAAUACCAAAUGCGAAGGCAGCUUUCUGGAUCAUUACUGACACUGAGGAACGAAAGCAUGGGUAGCGAAGAGGAUUAGAUACCCUCGUAGUCCAUGCCGUAAACGAUGUGUGUUAGACGUUGGAAAUUUAUUUUCAGUGUCGCAGGGAAACCGAUAAACACACCGCCUGGGGAGUACGACCGCAAGGUUAAAACUCAAAUGAAUUGACGGGGACCCGCACAAGUAGUGGAGCAUGUGGUUUAAUUCGAAGAUACGCGCAGAACCUUACCAACACUUGACAUGUUCGUCGCGACUCUAAGAGAUUAGAGUUUUCGGUUCGGCCGGACGAAACACAGGUGCUGCAUGGCUGUCGUCAGCUCGUGUCGUGAGAUGUUGGGUUAAGUCCCGCAACGAGCGCAACCCUCACUUUUAGUUGCCAUCAUUAAGUUGGGCACUCUGAAAGAACUGCCAGUGAUAAGCUGGAGGAAGGUGGGGAUGACGUCAAGUCCUCAUAGCCCUUACGUGUUGGGCUACACACGUGCUACAAUGGUAUCUACAACAGGGAGCAAGACUGCGAAGUUAAGCAAAUCCCUAAAAGAUACCUCAGUUCGGAUUGCACUCUGCAACUCGAGUGCAUGAAGCUGGAAUUACUAGUAAUCGUGGAUCAGCGUGCCACGGUGAAUGCGUUCCCGGGUCU
rnacentral:rRNA from 1 species